CCCUUAGAUGUUCUGGGCCGCACGCGCGCUACACUGAUGCAUUCAACGAGUCUAAAACCUGCUCUGAUAGGGGUGGGUAAUCUUUUGAAUGUGCAUCGUGAUUGGGAUAGAUGAUUGCAAUUUUUCAUCUUCAACGAGGAAUGCCUAGUAAACGCAAGUCAUCAGCUUGCAUUGAUUACGUCCCUGCCCUUUGUACACACCGCCCGUCGCUCCUACCGAUUGAAUGAUCCGAUGAAUAUCAUGGAUUGAGGAUGCAAGCAGAUUCGCCUGUCUUCAUCUUCGAGAAGUGAAGUAAAUCUUAUCAUUUAGAGGAAGGAGAAGUCGUAACA
rnacentral:rRNA from 1 species